AGCAACUAGUCUGUAUUGAGAAGAGGACUGACAGAAACUGGUGCCAGGAAGACAUCCCAGUGCUAGUUUCAGUAGUAGCAACUGUGUGCUCACAACUGGACUUCUCUAUGGCAAGAACAACACCGAACCACUUCAGCGAGGGGCCUCACUCAGCAGGAGCCAGAGGAGGAACAUGCAGUAGCCACAUUAGAAAGAAAGACAGUGUUUGCUACAAAUCUUAUGAGGGGGCAUAUAUUCAUCUUCAAAAUGAAACAGGACAAGACAGCAACCCAGACAGAAUUUACGCAGAAUCUGAAGCAGAGCAAGUGACCA
ensembl:lncRNA